rnacentral:rRNA from 1 species
GCGGCAGGCCUAACACAUGCAAGUCGAGCGGUAGCACAGAGAGCUUGCUCUCGGGUGACGAGCGGCGGACGGGUGAGUAAUGUCUGGGAAACUGCCUGAUGGAGGGGGAUAACUACUGGAAACGGUAGCUAACACCGCAUAAUGUCGCAAGACCAAAGUGGGGGACCUUCGGGCCUCAUGCCAUCAGAUGUGCCCAGAUGGGAUUAGCUAGUAGGUGGGGUAACGGCUCACCUAGGCGACGAUCCCUAGCUGGUCUGAGAGGAUGACCAGCCACACUGGAACUGAGACACGGUCCAGACUCCUACGGGAGGCAGCAGUGGGGAAUAUUGCACAAUGGGCGCAAGCCUGAUGCAGCCAUGCCGCGUGUGUGAAGAAGGCCUUCGGGUUGUAAAGCACCUUCAGCGGGGAGGAAGGCGGUGAGGUUAAUAACCUCACCGAUUGACGUUACCCGCAGAAGAAGCACCGGCUAACUCCGUGCCAGCAGCCGCGGUAAUACGGAGGGUGCAAGCGUUAAUCGGAAUUACUGGGCGUAAAGCGCACGCAGGCGGUCUGUCAAGUCGGAUGUGAAAUCCCCGGGCUCAACCUGGGAACUGCAUUCGAAACUGGCAGGCUAGAGUCUUGUAGAGGGGGGUAGAAUUCCAGGUGUAGCGGUGAAAUGCGUAGAGAUCUGGAGGAAUACCGGUGGCGAAGGCGGCCCCCUGGACAAAGACUGACGCUCAGGUGCGAAAGCGUGGGGAGCAAACAGGAUUAGAUACCCUGGUAGUCCACGCCGUAAACGAUGUCGAUUUGGAGGUUGUGCCCUUGAGGCGUGGCUUCCGGAGCUAACGCGUUAAAUCGACCGCCUGGGGAGUACGGCCGCAAGGUUAAAACUCAAAUGAAUUGACGGGGGCCCGCACAAGCGGUGGAGCAUGUGGUUUAAUUCGAUGCAACGCGAAGAACCUUACCUGGUCUUGACAUCCACAGAACUUUCCAGAGAUGGAUUGGUGCCUUCGGGAACUGUGAGACAGGUGCUGCAUGGCUGUCGUCAGCUCGUGUUGUGAAAUGUUGGGUUAAGUCCCGCAACGAGCGCAACCCUUAUCCUUUGUUGCCAGCGGUCCGGCCGGGAACUCAAAGGAGACUGCCAGUGAUAAACUGGAGGAAGGUGGGGAUGACGUCAAGUCAUCAUGGCCCUUACGACCAGGGCUACACACGUGCUACAAUGGCAUAUACAAAGAGAAGCGACCUCGCGAGAGCAAGCGGACCUCAUAAAGUAUGUCGUAGUCCGGAUUGGAGUCUGCAACUCGACUCCAUGAAGUCGGAAUCGCUAGUAAUCGUAGAUCAGAAUGCUACGGUGAAUACGUUCCCGGGCCUUGUACACACCGCCCGUCACACCAUGGGAGUGGGUUGCAAAAGAAGUAGGUAGCUUAACCUUCGGGAGGGCGCUUACCACUUUGUGAUUCAUGACUGGGGUGAAGUCAUAAC